rnacentral:lncRNA from 1 species
UUGGGCUUCUUGACAAUGGCUUGCACAUGUUCAAGAGUGUAGUCCAAGGAACACAAAAACGCAACGUAGUCGUCGGUGGAUAUGUCGUAUACGAGGCCCGGCGACAGUGCCUUCUGAGGUUCAACAUGGCCGGAGCCGUGAGCCCACGGGUUCGAAAAUGAACCAUCCGCGGCGUCCCGGAGAGGGGACUUGGUGUUGUCUUGGGUAUAGGCUGUGGUCAUCAGUGCAGAUUUGAUUGCACUUGGGCUCCAAUCCGGAUGGGCUGCUUUGAGUAAUGCUGCAAGCCCACUAAUGUG